UUUAAAAAAUCCUAACAAUGAAAAGAAAGGAAAUACAUUUGUGAUAUUAUUUCUCACGUUUUAUCAAACUCAGACCAACAAAAAAAAUAUCUAUUCUCACAAAUAUUUUUUCUUUUAUGCUUACCAAACUCAAACUUUACAAAAUUAAUAUGAAAAUUGAUAGAAUACCACAAGCAGUGAUUAUACAUAAUCAAAAAAAACUCUUUUAAAAAAUUAAAAUUAUAUAAAAUAAAUAAAUAAAAAUACUAUCUAUAGUACUAUAACCAAGUAUCGACACAACUUUAAAGGAAACAAAAUGCAUUAUAAGAUCGUUUCUUAAACUUUUAUAUUUAAGUAAAUAAUUACAAAUUUCUGACUAAGCGCGAUACACAAAGUCUAUAAAAAAAACAUAUAAUAGUUGAUGAACUAAAAAAAAUCAAAUAAAACAAAGGAAAUGCAUCGUAGCAUCUUUAUAUAUAAAGAAAUGUUGCUUUUCUCCUGUGAUGCCACCUAGGAUCCAGGUCAGAAAGUCGAAAGUUUUGGGCAUGACACGUGUCACCGUCGACCAAAACGCAUCAAUUCAUUUAAUCAAAAUUGUGACGGGCUUAGAUGUGGGCUUCGCGUGAAAAUUGUGUAUGUGGCCUGACAAAUGGAUUUUGUCUGCAGCCCUAAUUCUAAAGACGUGAAGCCAUGGAGUUCUGAUCCUCUCUCCGUUCUACGGCGGCGGCGCAGUGACACGGCGGAGUUUAUGGAAGGGUUGUGUGAUAUGAAUCUUCGUGAAGAAACUCUGGGUCAGGCUAGCUCUGUUCGUGUCGUUUCGCCUCAUGUUCUUCUCCUCCGAGACGUUAUGUGAUACAUUGAUUUAUAGCCAUUAACAACUUUCUUAAAUCCGUUGACCCACUCCACGCACGAUUUAUCAUUAAAUGCAUCUCCUCUCUCUCCAAGCUGUGGAUCUCCAGCUAUAAAAAGGUGAAUCUUUAUCCCCUAAAACAUCAUCCGCGCAAAUCCUAAUCCUUUUAAUCAUCUCUGUUUCUAGAGUGGUUAUUUUAUCUCGGAGGUGAACUGGACUGCGGGAGCAGUGGAGAUGCGGCCUAAAUAGAUUGCAGGAUGUCCUUAUGGCAAGACAAGCAAAGACCGAGCCAAAGAUGGAGGUGAUUCCAAUGGCUGCGGCGGUGACAUUAAGAUUGUCUCGGAUAACUGGAAGGACAGGUGGAGCAACAAAAGAGGAAUCGAAGCAACAUAGGAACUAAAACCAUAAAAGGUGGAAAGCUCUCAUGUAAGGAUUGCGACGGAGAUUAGCCAGAAAGUUGUGGAUUCAUUCACUGAAUCUUUCAGUAGUGGCUCCUCCUCUUGGACCUCCACCAGCGCCAAGAUUAUGGUUAGCGAGUGAAAGUGCAGCGAGUGAGGGAAAAUGAUCAGCUUUCCAAAUACGGAGACACUAAAACAGCCCGGACCGUAAUGCUAGCAGAAGUAAAUCCUCCUUUUCGUAACAAAUUGACGUAGUUCCCUACAUUAAGAUCUUCGAGACUGCGGACUCUCAUUAAUCAAAGUCUUAACUGGCAGCACCAUCUGUGCAGAAAUCCUAGGCCAAACCCAGUUAUUCACAGACCACACAUUUCGCAGUUCCGAAUGGUCCUCUGGCACUUUCAUCAGUCAAUCAGCCUGUUACAACUUUGACAAAGCCAACAGCUUUUCCGUUACUUGGAGCUCAUGGUGUAAGAAACCUCAACGUUUGACUGCUUUAUUCAAGUUUCUGAAUUGUAAAAAUAUUAACAUUUGAGUAAAUCUGUAGUUCUAUAUUCAAUGUAGCCCUUUCCUCCUGUUACUAAUGUUUCUGCUGCUAAUGCUCCAACUGGCCCAGUUUACUGUAAGGUGUGGUACAAUCAUCUUAUCUUACAAUAUUAUCAUUUGGUC